rnacentral:rRNA from 1 species
GGGAAUAUUCCCCCAUGGGCGAAAGCCUGACGGAGCGACGCCGCGUGAGCGAUGAAGGUCUUCGGAUCGUAAAGCUCUGUUGUUAGGGAAGAACAAGUACCGGAGUAACUGCCGGUACCUUGACGGUACCUAACCAGAAAGCCCCGGCUAACUACGUG